rnacentral:lncRNA from 10 species
AACACACACCCUUUCAACCGAGUCUGCCAUGUAUUUCAGGAAUAACACAUGUUCCGGAAGACGGCCUUUCUUGGGAAACUCACUGAAAAAUGAAUUAAGGGACUUGCCCAACUGUGUCUCGGGGCAGGAGGACAGGAGCCAAGGAGGGGGAGAUUCCAACAUGCAUACAUUGGUAUUUACACACAGACUCUCUUCUGCUCCAUUUUUGUUCUUUGCUUAGAAAGUCUUUGUUCCAAAAACUACAGACAGAAACCAGUUCAGUGGUUGUGAGGAGCUGAGGGUAGAGGAAGGGGUUGGCUACAAAGACACGUGAGGGAACAGUGGUGUGUGAUGAAACUAUUAUAUACCGUAUGUUGUUGGUGGUAGUACAUAAUUGUAUGAAUUUAUUUUUUAAAAAAUUCUAGACCUGUACGCUAGAAUGGGUAAUUUUUACUGCGUGUAAAAUUAUACCUCAAAAAACUAUGUAAUAAAAACUCUUUGCUCUAAACCAUAUUUUAAGAAAGGAGCAGGAUUUUAAAAGGGG